rnacentral:rRNA from 1 species
UGGAAACCGGAGCUAAUACCGGAUAAUAUUUUAAACCGCAUGGUUCAAAAGUGAAAGACGGUCUUGCUGUCACUUAUAGAUGGAUCCGCGCUGCAUUAGCUAGUUGGUAAGGUAACGGCUUACCAAGGCAACGAUGCAUAGCCGACCUGAGAGGGUGAUCGGCCACACUGGAACUGAGACACGGUCCAG